rnacentral:rRNA from 1 species
GGAGGACCAUACAAAUUUCUCCCCUAUCAAUUUUCGAUGGGACUACCUACUGCGAAAGCAGUGGUGACGGGUAACGGGGUGUUAGUGCACGACACCGGAGAGGGAGCCUGAGAACCGGCUACCGCAUCCAAGGAUGGCUGCAGGCGCGCAAAUUACCCAAUCCUGACACGGGGAGGUAGUGACAAUAAAUAACAAUACGGGGUUCUUUCGGAUCUCGUAAUUGGAAUGAGUACAAUUUAAGAGGAACGAUGGGAGGGCAAAUCUCUUGACGUCCGGUGCCGUAAUACCAGAGAAGCCGCGCUCCAAUAGCGUAUAUUAAAGUUGUUGCAGUUAAAAAGCUCGUAGUUGAAUUUCGGGGUUUCAUGCAUCUAGUUCGUUGGGGUCUCACUUGUUAUGUACUUUUCCUCCUUCCUGAUUAACCCUAAUGACAUUUAUUUGGUAUUUGGACUGUUAUUUUGAAGUUGCGGGGAUGGGGCAUUAUGUUUAAGGCAGGCUAACGCAAACUUAGAGUUGAAUACAUUAGCAUGGAAUAAUGAAAUAGUACGUUCGAUCCUAUUUUGUGGGUUUCCAGGAUUGACGUAGGGAUCGUUGCCUACCAUGGUAUUCCAUUGUCAGAGUUGAAAUUCUUGGAUUUAUUGAAUAGGAUCGAGAAUGAUUAAUUUUGCCAGGGUAAUGAAGAACGAAAGUUAGGGGAUCGAUGACGAUCAGAUAUGUUUUCAUACCGUCGAUGUUUUAACCAUCAACUAUGCCGGGAUGAUGUUAAUUUUUGAGACUAGGAAUAUGACUCUUUCGGAAAACCACGGCGCAUUAUUUCCGGGGGCGGUGUUUGGGCCUGCGGCUGCAAGGAUGACAAUUAAAGGUUUUGACGGAGGGGCACCACCAGGGGUGGAGAGUAUAGUC